UGCGGAAGGAUCAUUAAUGAUUAACUGUCUGUCGAGCUUGCUCACAGACUUAUCAUAUCCAUAACACCUGUGCACUUGUCGGAUGGCUUAGUGAAGACCGCAAGGUUGGAUCUAUCCAUCUACUUUACAUAACAAUUUAGUAACAAAUGUAGUCUUAUUAUAACAUAAUAAAACUUUCAACAACGGAUCUCUUGGCUCUCGCAUCGAUGAAGAACGCAGCGAAAUGCGAUAAGUAAUGUGAAUUGCAGAAUUCAGUGAAUCAUCGAAUCUUUGAACGCACCUUGCGCUCCCUGGUAUUCCGGGGAGCAUGCCUGUUUGAGUGUCAUGAAAACCCUCAACCUUAGAUUGGUUAACACCUUUCUUUGGCUUGGAUUUGGACGUUUGCCGAUGAUAAGUCGGCUCGUCUUAAAAGUAAUAGCUGGAUCUGUCUCGCGACAUGGUUUGACUUGGCGUAAUAAGUAUUUCGCUAAGGACAUCUUCGGAUGGCCGCGUUGCAAGACUAAAGACCGCUUUCUAAUCCAUUGAUCUUCGGAUUAAUAUUCUUGACAUCUGGCCUCAAAUCAGGUAGGACUACCCGCUGAACUUAAGCAUA
rnacentral:rRNA from 1 species